rnacentral:lncRNA from 1 species
GCUCGAGCGGGUAGGUAACGACGCAUAUCGCUCCGUGAAUUAUUAAUUCCCUUCAAAUAUCACUCGUGAUCAUUGGCUACGAACAAUGUUCUUAUUCUCAAGACGAUUACGAGGACGAUUAGAUCCCCACGGCGAACGAUCGUAUGCGUAUUGAGAUAUGCGCGUCGCGUGUCAUCAAUUUGGAAGUGUCGUACCGUACGAUUAUCGUAUUUUGCUAAUUAAUAUAUGCCAUCGUACGUAAUUAACUAUAAUUCGCGAGUGAGUGUUGUGUGAAUAUUACGAAUCUGAAGAAACAGGAGAGUUUGAGAGGAGGACGAGGCCCGGGGAGGCAUUGGGCAACUAUAGGAUCGACGUGGUAAUGAAAUGCAGUUACAACUCUGCCGCUGCGCAUCGUACCUAAUGAGUGCACCGGACUUGGUAACUUAAUCUCAGAAUGAGAGGAAAAGAGGAGCAGGAGAAAUAGGAAGAGGACAUCUAGAAAAGGCAUUGGAUGACAAUGAAGAAAUCUUGGAAUUCUUCUGACCCACCAUCGCUGAUUUAAUUAAACAAAUGAACCGCAGCUGAUUUGUCGCGUACAUUUGUUUUCGGGAGUGCCGUUUAAAUUAUCGGACUAGUGGAUAUUUUUUUUAAAGUUUAUUUGUUUAAAUCCGCGUUCGAAGUGGAGGAAUCACAUCUUCGACGUCUUGACGAUAUCUAUAGAAUCGCAUUGAGGCAUUGCUGGAUGGUCACAAUCAUUACAACAAUAUUCUCACACCAAGUGCUUCGGGCACGAGGUGAUGCUAGCCGCGUAAUGUCAUGUACUUUGCAAUGUUACGCGGUUUAGCAAUUUAUUGUUGCUGUUGACUGAUUGAGAACACGCUGUCUGUUGGCAAACGGUUCGGUCCUAAACGGUACGAGUCCGACCAAUUGACUUGGGUUCGUCUCUGGGUUGUCCAUUUCUCUGAUCUUGUUUACCUAUGUCAACCAACACUCUCAAAGCAUAUUGAAUCGCGUUUAAUCUGACUUGGUCAGAGCCUAGCGGUCGGUUUAUUUUGUGACGAGGAGUUGGAUCCCAUUUCUUGAAUUGUCUAGGUUAGACAUUAGCAAUGGGACUUUCUCUUAGAGACUCUCGUCACGUCUACCCUGCUUCAUCGAUAUCGCUUGUAGUACAGCUCACUUGAACUGUAGCUAGGGUGUAUGCUUAAGUUAAUUUUAAACACGAUUUGUGAAUACAGAUGACGAAUUCAAUAUAAUCGAUUCCGUUUUCUUCCGCGCGAAUCUUAACCUUUUGUUUGAAAAUUAUUGUAUUUGUCCUGCAUAUACUCGGCGACUCGAGGAUCUGAUUCCAUCGAACUGAAAAUUCUAACAUUUUAUAAACUUGAAAUGUCAUAGUAUCGUGCGAAAGACUUUUAUUAAUAAUUAAUCCGCGUGCGAUUGUAGUGUACGUAUUAUACGCGAGUGUGUUUUGUGAGUGUCCUGUAUGAGAGGAGAAGGAGACAACUCAAUCUUGAGAGGAGGAGGAGGUCUGAAAGAGGCGUCGGGUACCGGCGGAGCAAUCUUGGGUAUCAUCGUAGGGCUAAUAACUCAUCGUAGAGCUAAAUGGCUGAUAACUUCGCCCGUUGCGCAUCGGUAUAAAUGCAUCCCGACCUCGAUCAGUGUUGUACGACCGACCGCAUGAAUUCCUCGGCUCGACUUCCGCCGCCUCGCGUGGUGUUACUACAAGUGAAGUAACUAUAAGGAUUUUCUCGUAACAAACCAUGCGUGUGACUACGUAACUCCAUCGACUUUCUGCAUGCCGCAUGAUUAUUUGGUCAUUUAUAUCUAAUUUUCAUUUCUCUAUCAAAAUGUUUUUGGAAU